GGGGCGGGGGCGCCGAGUCCGAGGGCACCAGCGGUCUGUGGGCCCCGGGCGGGGAGCUGGGGCCGAGCCCAGGCGGCGGGAGAGAGGGCGCGUCUGAUUCAGGAAGUUGUGUCUGUGACAUCAGGGGCAGGACGGAGUUGGAGUGAAACCUCAGAAAUGUGAGGCUCCAGCCUCGGGAGGGCAAAGAACGCACUGGGGGCUUUCCUCGUGGUGAGGGCAGGUACGCGCGGCGCCCGACCCCCACCUACCCCUCCGCGCCGCACCUGGCUCCGCAGGGGGGCGGGCUUCAGCGCGGGGACCUUGACCUCCGCCGGGACCCCUGCUGUCAGACGGGCCGCGCCAGACCCCGGCGCCACCGCGCCUGUAGGAAGCCCUCCGGUGGACUGCGAGGUGCCCACCCUGAUCACCCCUUCUGUGAAGCCUUGCCUAGAUCUCUCACUGGAAUUAACAGCUUCCUCCUGGCUGCUUCCAUAACCAUGUGUUUGCAUUUCCCUUUGGACACUUAACUAGUCAUGCUUCGUCGUUCUUCUUUCAUGCUCCUCCAUUUCCCCCAACAAAAAAUAAAUUCCUUGAGUUCACAGUCUACA